UGGAUGACGGCCUUCGGGUUGAAACCUCUUUAGCAGGGAAGAAGCGAAAGUGACGGUACCUGAGAAGAAGCACCGGCUAACUACGUGCCAGCAGCCGCGGUAAUACGUAGGGUGCCGAGCGUUAUCCGGAAUUAUUGGGCGUAAAGAGCUCGUAGGCGGUUUGUCGCGUCUGUCGUGAAAGUCCGGGGCUUAACCCCGGAUCUGCGGUGGGUACGGGCAGACUAGAGUGCAGUAGGGGAGACUGGAAUUCCUGGUGUAGCGGUGGAAUGCGCAGAUAUCAGGAGGAACACCGAUGGCGAAGGCAGGUCUCUGGGCUGUAACUGACGCUGAGGAGCGAAAGCAUGGGGAGCGAACAGGAUUAGAUACCCUGGUAGUCCAUGCCGUAAACGUUGGGCACUAGGUGUGGGGACCAUUCCACGGUUUCCGCGCCGCAGCUAACGCAUUAAGUGCCCCGCCUGGGGAGUACGGCCGCAAGGCUAAAACUCAAAGGAAUUGACGGGGGCCCGCACAAGCGGCGGAGCAUGCGGAUUAAUUCGAUGCAACGCGAAGAACCUUACCAAGGCUUGACAUGUUUUCGAUCGCCGUGGAGACACGGUUUCCCCUUUGGGGCGGAUUCACAGGUGGUGCAUGGUUGUCGUCAGCUCGUGUCGUGAGAUGUUGGGUUAAGUCCCGCAACGAGCGCAACCCUCGUUCCAUGUUGCCAGCACGUUGUGGUGGGGACUCAUGGGAGACUGCCGGGGUCAACUCGGAGGAAGGUGAGGACGACGUCAAAUCAUCAUGCCCCUUAUGUCUUGGGCUUCACGCAUGCUACAAUGGCCGGUACAAUGGGUUGCGAUACUGUGAGGUGGAGCUAAUCCCAAAAAGCCGGUCUCAGUUCGGAUUGGGGUCUGCAACUCGACCCCAUGAAGUCGGAGUCGCUAGUAAUCGCAGAUCAGCAACGCUGCGGUGAAUACGUUCCCGGGCCUUGUACACACCGCCCGUCAAGUCACGAAAGUCGGUAACACCCGAAGCCGGUGGCCUAACCCUUGUGGGGGGAGCCGUCGAAGGUGGGACCAGCGAAUUGGGACUAAGUCGUAACAAGGUA
rnacentral:rRNA from 1 species